rnacentral:rRNA from 1 species
CAGCCGCGGGAAUACAGAGGGUGCGAGCGUUAAUCGGAUUUACUGGGCGUAAAGCGUGCGUAGGCGGCUUCUUAAGUCGGAUGUGAAAUCCCUGAGCUUAACUUAGGAAUUGCAUUCGAUACUGGGAAGCUAGAGUAUGGGAGAGGAUGGUAGAAUUCCAGGUGUAGCGGUGAAAUGCGUAGAGAUCUGGAGGAAUACCGAUGGCGAAGGCAGCCAUCUGGCCUAAUACUGACGCUGAGGUACGAAAGCAUGGGGAGCAAACAGGAUUAGAUACCCCCGUAGUCCCUGUCUCUUAUACACA